AGGGACCCAAACUUAGGUGUCUUUCGUGAAGGGUAAGCAUCGGUGCUUUUUUAGCUGCUUCUUCUCCCCAACAAUUCCAUGCCACAAUUGACGACUGCCUACUCGGGGUGCAGGGAGAUAAGGCAGAUUGGCAGUUGAGCAAAUCGGCCUUCCAAGGGAAGAAAAUGGACGUCCACACAAGGCUCAUGAGCAAAUACAACCAAGUCCCAGAGGAAUCUGGUUAGGGGACAGAAUGAUGUGGCUGGUUGGUUUUUUGUUUGGAUGCAGGCCUACCUGUUUUAGCUGGAAUUCUUAUCAGGGAGCCCUGUACUCAUGGGUGCUCUGUUGCCUUCCUUGCCUUUGAGCUGUGCUUUGCUAGCUACUUCAUAGCCAGCAGGAGUGCAGGGCUGAUGUGUUUCAUGCUAAGGGGAGGAUUGGCAGAUGCUGUAAUGGAGGGUUUU